UGCAGUCGAGCGCGAAAACACUUCGGUGUGAGUAGAGCGGCGGACGGGUGAGUAAUGCUUGGGAAUCUGCCCAGUAGUGGGGGAUAACGUGUGGAAACGCACGCUAAUACCGCAUACGUCCUACGGGAGAAAGCAGGGGAUCUUCGGACCUUGCGCUAUUGGAUGAGCCCAAGUCGGAUUAGCUAGUUGGUGGGGUAAUGGCCUACCAAGGCGACGAUCCGUAGCUGGUCUGAGAGGAUGAUCAGCCACACUGGGACUGAGACACGGCCCAGACUCCUACGGGAGGCAGCAGUGGGGAAUAUUGCACAAUGGGCGAAAGCCUGAUGCAGCCAUGCCGCGUGUGUGAAGAAGGCUCUAGGGUUGUAAAGCACUUUCAGUAGGGAGGAAAAGCUUAAGGUUAAUAACCUUGAGCCCUGACGUUACCUACAGAAGAAGCACCGGCAAACUCCGUGCCAGCAGCCGCGGUAAUACGGAGGGUGCGAGCGUUAAUCGGAAUUACUGGGCGUAAAGCGCGCGUAGGUGGUUUGAUAAGCUAGCUGUGAAAGCCCCGGGCUCAACCUGGGAACUGCAGUUAGAACUGUCUGACUAGAGUAUAGUAGAGGGUG
rnacentral:rRNA from 1 species